ACACGCUGGCGGCGUGCUUAACACAUGCAAGUCGAACGAUGAACCAGGGCUUGCCCUGGGGAUUAGUGGCGAACGGGUGAGUAACACGUGGGCAACCUGCCCCAGACACCGGGAUAACCUCUCGAAAGAGUGGCUAAUACCGGAUAUGACCACUUCGGGCAUCCGACGGUGGUGGAAAGGAUUCUGGUCUGGGAUGGGCCCGCGGCCUAUCAGCUAGUUGGUGGGGCAAUGGCCUACCAAGGCGACGACGGGUAGCCGGCCUGAGAGGGCGACCGGCCACACUGGGACUGAGACACGGCCCAGACUCCUACGGGAGGCAGCAGUGGGGAAUAUUGCGCAAUGGGCGAAAGCCUGACGCAGCGACGCCGCGUGAGGGACGAAGGUCUUCGGAUUGUAAACCUCUUUCAGCAGGGACGAAGCGAAAGUGACUGUACCUGCAGAAGAAGCACCGGCUAACUACGUG
rnacentral:rRNA from 1 species